UACGUAGGGUGCAAGCGUUGUCCGGAAUUUUUGGGCGUAAAGAGCUCGUAGGCGGUUUGGUAAGUCGGGUGUGAAAUCUCCACGCUCAACGUGGAGGGGCCACUCGAUACUGCCAUGACUCGAGUCCGGUAGAGGAGUGUGGAAUUCCCGGUGUAGCGGUGAAAUGCGCAGAUAUCGGGAGGAACACCCGUAGCGAAGGCGGCACUCUGGGCCGGAACUGACGCUGAGGAGCGAAAGCGUGGGGAGCAAACAGG
rnacentral:rRNA from 1 species